AGAACAGUCCAGGUGUGUGUGAGAACAGUCCAGGUGUGUGUGAGAACAGUCCAGGUGUGUGUGAGAACAGUCCAGGUGUGUGUGAGAACAGUCCAGGUGUGUGUGAGAACAGUCCAUGUGUGUGAGAACAGUCCAGGUGUGUGUGAGAACAGUCCAGAUGUGUGUGAGAACAGUCCAUGUGUGUGAGAACAGUCCAGGUGUGUGUGAGAACAGUCCAGGUGUGUGUGAGAACAGUCCAGGUGUGUGUGAGAACAGUCCAGGUGUGUGUGAGAACAGUCCAGGUGUGUGAGAACAGUCCAGAUGUGUGAGAACAGUCCAGGUGUGUGAGAACAGUCCAGGUGUGUGUGAGAACAGUCCAGGUGUGUGUGAGAACAGUCCAGGUGUGUGAGAACAGUCCAGGUGUGUGAGAACAGUCCAGGUGUGUGAGAACAGUCCAGGUGUGUGAGAACAGUCCAGGUGUGUGAGAACAGUCCAUAUGUGUGAGAACAGUCCAGGUGUGUGAGAACAGUCCAGGUGUGUGAGAACAGUCCAGGUGUGUGAGAACAGUCCAGGUGUGUGAGAACAGUCCAGGUGUGUGAGAACAGUCCAGGUGUGUGAGAACAGUCCAGGUGUGUGAGAACAGUCCAGGUGUGUGAGAACAGUCCAGGUGUGUGAGAACAGUCCAGGUGUGUGAGAACAGUCCAGGUGUGUGAGAACAGUCCAGGUGUGUGAGAACAGUCCAGAUGUGUGAGAACA